rnacentral:rRNA from 1 species
GAUGAACGCUGGCGGCGUGCCUAAUACAUGCAAGUCGAGCGAACGGACGAGAAGCUUACUUCUCUGAUGUUAGCGGCGGACGGGUGAGUAACACGUGGAUAACCUACCUAUAAGACUGGGAUAACUUCGGGAAACCGGAGCUAAUACCGGAUGAUAUUUUGAACCGCAUGGUUCAAAAGUGAAAGACGGUCUUGCUGUCACUUAUAGAUGGAUCCGCGCUGCAUUAGCUAGUUGGUAAGGUAACGGCUUACCAAGGCAACGAUGCAUAGCCGACCUGAGAGGGUGAUCGGCCACACUGGAACUGAGACACGGUCCAGACUCCUACGGGAGGCAGCAGUAGGGAAUCUUCCGCAAUGGGCGAAAGCCUGACGGAGCAACGCCGCGUGAGUGAUGAAGGUCUUCGGAUCGUAAAACUCUGUUAUUAGGGAAGAACAUAUGUGUAAGUAACUGUGCACAUCUUGACGGUACCUAAUCAGAAAGCCGCGGCUAACUACGUG